GGGUUGUGAGGUUAAGCGACUAAGCGUACACGGUGGAUGCCCUGGCAGUCAGAGGCGAUGAAGGACGUGCUAAUCUGCGAAAAGCGUCGGUAAGGUGAUAUGAACCGUUAUAACCGGCGAUGUCCGAAUGGGGAAACCCAGUGCAAUUCGUUGCACUAUCGUUAACUGAAUACAUAGGUUAACGAGGCGAACCGGGGGAACUGAAACAUCUAAGUACCCCGAGGAAAAGAAAUCAACCGAGAUUCCCCCAGUAGCGGCGAGCGAACGGGGAGCAGCCCAGAGUCUGAAUCAGCUUGUGUGUUAGUGGAACGGUCUGGAAAGUCCGACGGUACAGGGUGAUAGUCCCGUACACCAAAAUGCACAGGUUGUGAACUCGAAGAGUAGGGCGGGACACGUGGUAUCCUGUCUGAAUAUGGGGGGACCAUCCUCCAAGGCUAAAUACUCCUGACUGACCGAUAGUGAACCAGUACCGUGAGGGAAAGGCGAAAAGAACCCCGGCGAGGGGAGUGAAAAAGAACCUGAAACCGUGUACGUACAAGCAGUGGGAGCACCUUCGGGUGUGACUGCGUACCUUUUGUAUAAUGGGUCAGCGACUUAUAUUCUGUAGCAAGGUUAACCGUAUAGGGGAGCCGCAGGGAAACCGAGUCUUAACUGGGCGUUAAGUUGCAGGGUAUAGACCCGAAACCCGGUGAUCUAGCCAUGGGCAGGUUGAAGGUUGGGUAACACUAACUGGAGGACCGAACCGACUAAUGUUGAAAAAUUAGCGGAUGACUUGUGGCUGGGGGUGAAAGGCCAAUCAAACCGGGAGAUAGCUGGUUCUCCCCGAAAGCUAUUUAGGUAGCGCCUCGUGAACUCAUCUUCGGGGGUAGAGCACUGUUUCGGCUAGGGGGUCAUCCCGACUUACCAACCCGAUGCAAACUACGAAUACCGAAGAAUGUUAUCACGGGAGACACACGGCGGGUGCUAACGUCCGUCGUGAAGAGGGAAACAACCCAGACCGCCAGCUAAGGUCCCAAAGUCAUGGUUAAGUGGGAAACGAUGUGGGAAGGCACAGACAGCCAGGAUGUUGGCUUAGAAGCAGCCAUCAUUUAAAGAAAGCGUAAUAGCUCACUGGUCGAGUCGGCCUGCGCGGAAGAUGUAACGGGGCUAAACCAUGCACCGAAGCUGCGGCAGCGACACUAUGUGUUGUUGGGUAGGGGAGCGUUCUGUAAGCCUGCGAAGGUGACCUGUGAGGGUUGCUGGAGGUAUCAGAAGUGCGAAUGCUGACAUAAGUAACGAUAAAGCGGGUGAAAAGCCCGCUCGCCGGAAGACCAAGGGUUCCUGUCCAACGUUAAUCGGGGCAGGGUGAGUCGACCCCUAAGGCGAGGCCGAAAGGCGUAGUCGAUGGGAAACAGGUUAAUAUUCCUGUACUUGGUGUUACUGCGAAGGGGGGACGGAGAAGGCUAUGUUAGCCGGGCGACGGUUGUCCCGGUUUAAGCAUGUAGGCUGGUUAUCCAGGCAAAUCCGGAUAAUCAAGGCUGAGGUGUGAUGACGAGGCACUACGGUGCUGAAGUAACAAAUGCCCUGCUUCCAGGAAAAGCCUCUAAGCAUCAGGUAACAUCAAAUCGUACCCCAAACCGACACAGGUGGUCAGGUAGAGAAUACCAAGGCGCUUGAGAGAACUCGGGUGAAGGAACUAGGCAAAAUGGUGCCGUAACUUCGGGAGAAGGCACGCUGGUGUGUAGGUGAAGUCCCUGCGGAUGGAGCUGAGACCAGUCGAAGAUACCAGCUGGCUGCAACUGUUUAUUAAAAACACAGCACUGUGCAAACACGAAAGUGGACGUAUACGGUGUGACGCCUGCCCGGUGCCGGAAGGUUAAUUGAUGGGGUUAUCCGUAAGGAGAAGCUCUUGAUCGAAGCCCCGGUAAACGGCGGCCGUAACUAUAACGGUCCUAAGGUAGCGAAAUUCCUUGUCGGGUAAGUUCCGACCUGCACGAAUGGCGUAAUGAUGGCCAGGCUGUCUCCACCCGAGACUCAGUGAAAUUGAACUCGCUGUGAAGAUGCAGUGUACCCGCGGCAAGACGGAAAGACCCCGUGAACCUUUACUAUAGCUUGACACUGAACAUUGAGCCUUGAUGUGUAGGAUAGGUGGGAGGCUUUGAAGCGUGGACGCCAGUCUGCGUGGAGCCAACCUUGAAAUACCACCCUUUAAUGUUUGAUGUUCUAACGUGGGCCCCUAAUCGGGGUUGCGGACAGUGUCUGGUGGGUAGUUUGACUGGGGCGGUCUCCUCCCAAAGCGUAACGGAGGAGCACGAAGGUUAGCUAAUCCUGGUCGGACAUCAGGAGGUUAGUGCAAUGGCAUAAGCUAGCUUGACUGCGAGCGUGACGGCGCGAGCAGGUGCGAAAGCAGGUCAUAGUGAUCCGGUGGUUCUGAAUGGAAGGGCCAUCGCUCAACGGAUAAAAGGUACUCCGGGGAUAACAGGCUGAUACCGCCCAAGAGUUCAUAUCGACGGCGGUGUUUGGCACCUCGAUGUCGGCUCAUCACAUCCUGGGGCUGAAGUAGGUCCCAAGGGUAUGGCUGUUCGCCAUUUAAAGUGGUACGCGAGCUGGGUUUAGAACGUCGUGAGACAGUUCGGUCCCUAUCUGCCGUGGGCGCUGGAGAAUUGAGGGGGGCUGCUCCUAGUACGAGAGGACCGGAGUGGACGCAUCACUGGUGUUCGGGUUGUCAUGCCAAUGGCACUGCCCGGUAGCUAAAUGCGGAAGAGAUAAGUGCUGAAAGCAUCUAAGCACGAAACUUGCCCCGAGAUGAGUUCUCCCUGAGACUUUAAGUCUCCUGAAGGAACGUUGAAGACGACGACGUUGAUAGGCCGGGUGUGUAAGCGCAGCGAUGCGUUGAGCUAACCGGUACUAAUGAACCGUGAGGCUUAACCUUACAACGCCGAAG
rnacentral:rRNA from 1 species